rnacentral:lncRNA from 1 species
UUAAUCUCUACUAUUUAAAUUGCUAAUUUGCGCAGAUCUAGCUAAACAGAUAGCCCAUAUAUGUACCAUUUUCCUUACCCUUUCUUAAGCAGAAUAAAUUCCUGGGGGACCUAUUUUGCAAGCUUCUUUACUGAGAUUUCUAUACAGAAAUAAGAUGGAGCCUUUUCAGAUGCCAGUGUCAAAGYUGUGGUAUUAUCAGUAGGAAACAAAAGUGAAACAGAACCAUUAUAGUUCCUGGGUUUUGUAUACAAGAACUUUUGCUUGCUUUAGAUGGCAAAUUCCUGCUAAACUAACAUUUCUGUAAGCAAUUACAGUGUCUAUACCAGUGCUGCUAUAAUGAAAGGGAAUGUCCUUAUCUGAACUGGUUGUGAUUGUGUUGAUAGAUAUGAAUAGAUUGUGUCAGUCACAAUCUGACACAUCUGAAAGAAUACUCUUUCACUGAACAUGAAAGAUAAUGGUCAUAAUAUUGGUUCAGUCUCCAUUUUCAUACCAACAACACCCUUUCCUUAAAAAAAACUUAGCUAAAAUAAUUAAGCUUAUAAAACAGACUAACUAAAAAUCUAAAUGAAUUGUGAAGAACACUGUUGACAAAUGGGCUUUAUAAGGGUGGAGCCUAACUGAAAUGGAUGGAGAGGCCAGUAGGAAUCUCGUUAUAAAUGGAAAGGAUCAUUCCAUACAGUUAAACACUGCCUUGAACACCUAGCUUUUGGCUUGACUGUGGGAAGGAGUCUAAAGUACUGGGUGAUUUUUCAUACGUGUCUAGAUACAGUGAUGGGCAAAGUGCAGCAUAUUUACCCUGUCAUUCCCUUUUAUCAGUGUUAGUUAUUAAGCAAGUAGUGGAAAUCAAAAUCAACCUUGAUAUAAACAUUCUGUAGACAUUUCUCAUUAGGUAAACUACAUGUAUUCCAUAUAUUUGUUUCAGGGUCUGUCUCCCAUGGAUGCAUGCCAGACUGUCCUUUGGGAUAUAGUCCAACGAGUAGGAAAAGAAAAUAUGUUUAAACUUGGCAUAAUUGCAAUGAAUAUAAAGGGAGAAACUGGAGCUGCAUCACUGAUGCCAUUUCCGUACUGUGUUUGCUCUCAGGAAAGGGAAUCCAUUGAUGAAUUAGUGCAACAAGCCCACCGGCCGUGAAAGAAUACUCCUUACAAAAAAAUCCACGGGUGACUUCUAGGCCAGAUAGGUCAUUCCUCACCCUCAGUGGUAAGCAGUGCAAGCAGUCUUUGAGGUCUGGGGAAAACUGCUUGGUAUACCUGGAAAUCAGUCUAAUUAUUUAGGCAUCUAAAUACAGAAUUUUGAAUUUAACACUAUGCAUCUUAUAAACAAACAAAAAAGAAAAAUUAAUUUCAGCUGAGGCUAUUUUAGUCUUGAAUCAUGCUUUUCUACCACAUUUCAGUAAUGUGUGCCAUGCAUCUCAUUACCUUUGCUUUUCUGGGCUUUUUCUUUUAAAUUUUUCAGUCAUCGUACAGUGUUAUUUAGAUCUAACUCAGCACCCUUUCAUCAUGCUGAGUGGUUCCAGUGAAUAAUGGUUGUAGGACUGGCCUGCUAGUAAUUCAGGGUUGCUGUCUUUUAUCUUGAAAAUGAAAUACCUCUACUGGACUUAAGAGUUGCUUGCCUUAUGUAUGUCGUGUGUGUAAAUAAUAUGGACUAGAUGUACCAGGUCAGUGCAGACACAGUGCAAUCCUUUUUAAAAAAAGUUCAGCCAGUCAUUAAUAYUUUGUAUUGUAGGAGACAAUUUCCACAUUUAACUGAAUCUUGAGUUUAAUAUCUUAAUUUCAGCUAUGUACAAUCCAGAUAAAGGAUUCAUGUCUGUACUCAUUUUGUACACACUCUUGAUACAGCGUUUGAAAGUCAGAUGAGCCUUCAAAAUUUGCAAGUGAUGAUCUGUAUAARGUAAAAUGUAUUGCCUAUUUGUUGAUGCCUGUAAGCAUACCUAUUUCACUAAAGCAGAAGCUACAUUCAUUAUCYUGUAUGGACUAAAUGCUGAUGUGCUUCCUUCUCACAUUGUUUUUGCUACUGUGGUAGAGUUUUACCACUUGAAUUCACUGACUAAUGUUCUUGACUUUUAGGCAGGGUGAAWCCUUUAUUAAUUUUAAUUUUUCAAAAUCUGUUACCCACUAAUCACAUAAGUAUACCAACAGYUGUAAAUUCUUUGCAAUAUUUCACAGUUCAAAAACAUUUUUAUUUUCUUCUGCAAAGAUUUUAUUAAACUGACCUGUACCAUCCUCCUCACAGGACCGUAGYGGUGUACCCUAGUAUCCAUGAUACAAAUUAGGAGAUUUGGUCUGAAAUAAUAGAGAUAAUAUGUAAUCCUGAACUGACAUCUGAAGGACUGGUUACAGGUCUGUAAGUCAGCCUCAGUUAGUAUAGUCAGUCCUGUGUUAGGGUCAAGAGUAAGACAUUUUACUCUUUUAACAAAUUAUCCAAAGCCUGAGCUUUUUUUUCAGCUUUUGUUACAUUUCAGGAUUCAUGCUGAAUAACAAUAAUAAAAGAUGAAUCCUAUCUGUUUUUCUCUUGAUU